GAUCCUGGCUCAGAACGAACGCUGGCGGCGCGUUUAAGCAUGCAAGUCGAGCGGCAAGGGCCUUCGGGCCCCUAGAGCGGCGGACGGGUGAGUAACACGUGGACAAUCUGCCCCCCGGCCCGGGAUAGCCCAGGGAAACCUGGAUUAAUACCGGAUGAGACGGGACCCGCGAUGGCGGGACCCGGGAAAGGCGCUGCGGCGCCGCCGGGGGAUGAGUCUGCGUCCCAUUAGCUAGACGGCGGGGUAACGGCCCACCGUGGCGACGAUGGGUAGCCGGCCUGAGAGGGUGGACGGCCACAUUGGAACUGAGACACGGUCCAGACUCCUACGGGAGGCAGCAGCUAAGAAUCUUCCGCAAUGGGCGAAAGCCUGACGGAGCCGACGCCGCGUGAACGAAGAAGGCCGUGAGGUUGUAAAGUUCUUUUCGGGAGGGGGAACAACCGUGGCAGGGAAUGGCCGCGGGAUGACGUGAAUCCCGGAAUAAGCCCCGGCUAACUACGUGCCAGCCGCCGC
rnacentral:rRNA from 1 species